AACGAACGCUAGCGGCAGGCCUAACACAUGCAAGUCGAACGCUCCAGCAAUGGAGAGUGGCAGACGGGUGAGUAACGCGUGGGAACCUACCCUUUGGUUCGGAAUAGCCCAGGGAAACUUGGGGUAAUACCGGAUAAGCCCUUCGGGGGAAAGAUUUAUCGCCAUAGGAUGGGCCCGCGUCGGAUUAGCUAGUUGGUGGGGUAACGGCCUACCAAGGCUACGAGCCGUAGCUGGUCUGAGAGGAUGAUCAGCCACACUGGGACUGAGACACGGCCCAGACUCCUACGGGAGGCAGCAGUGGGGAAUAUUGGACAAUGGGCGCAAGCCUGAUCCAGCCAUGCCGCGUGAGUGACGAAGGUCUUCGGAUUGUAAAGCUCUUUUGGCGGGGAAGAUAAUGACGGUACCCGCAGAAUAAGCCCCGGCUAACUUCGUGCCAGCCGCCGCGGUAACAC
rnacentral:rRNA from 1 species